rnacentral:rRNA from 1 species
CACGUAGGGUGCGAGCGUUGUCCGGAAUUAUUGGGCGUAAAGAGCUCGUAGGCGGUGUGUCGCGUCGGCCGUGAAACCUGCAGCUUAACUGUGGGCUUGCGGUCGAUACGGCAUCACUGGAGUUCGGCAGGGAGACUGGAAUUCCUGGUGUAGCGGUGAAAUGCGCAGAUAUCAGGAAGAACACCCGUGGCUAAGGCGGCUCUCUAGUACGGUACUGACGCUGAGACGCGAAAGCGUGGGAGCGAAC